AUGUACUCUGUAUGCGGCAAGCAAAGCAAUCAAUUAAGUUUACAUGGUAUCGGAUAUCUCUCCCACGAUCCUCUCCUAACCUCCAGUGCCAUGACCAACCCCGGCGCUGGCAAUCCCUCCCAACCGGCCGCCGGCGACCAAACCUCUCUGGCGACCUCCUCCACCACUACCCUCACCAUCCCCUCUCUCUCCUUCAGCAACACUAUCACCGAUGUGACUCCCUUCAUCCCCAUUGUUCUUGAUCUCCACAACAGGAACUACUACCACUGGCGCCACUUGUUCGAGAUCCACCUCGGUCGCUGCUCGUUGCUGCACCACAUCUCCGACGCCUCUCCUCCCAAGCCGCACAAUCCUCGCUGGCUCAAAGACGAUCUUGCCAUCAUCCAGUGGCUUUACACGCGCAUCUCCACCGAGCUAUUCAACCUCGUCGUCAAGGACGGCGCCACUGCGCGUGACAUCUGGACGGAGCUCCGGCGUCUCUUCCAGGACAACCGCGAUGCCCGCAUCUCGUCCCUCAACGUCGAGCUCCGCACCAUCACCCAGGGAGAUCGUCCUGUUGGCGUCUUCUGUCAACAGAUCAAGACGAUUGGCGAUGAACUCCGUGAACUCGGGGAAACCGUUGCCGAUCGCUCUCUUCUUCACGCUCUCAUGGGCGGGCUCGAUGAACGGUUCGCUCAGCAGGCGUCGCUGAUUCCUCUACUCCGCCCACUGUCGUCCCUAUCCGAGGCCAGAUCAAUGCUGCAGCUCGAGGAGCAGACCCAGGCGCGCAAGGUUGGCGCUCCGCGUCUCUUCCACACCGCCGCUCAUCUUGCUCCGUCGCCGCCAGCAUCAUCCUUGACGCCUCCCGCCCCGCAGCCGCCUCCUGGAUGGCGCCCAAGCCCCAACUAUAAGGGUAAAAACCCGGUCUAUCGACCGCCCAAACAGCACUCGUCGGCUUCCUCGUCAUCCUCCGCGCCUCCACCGCCGGCGCCUUCAUCGGCGCCAACGUCACCAACGCCCGCGGCGCCUCCGGCUUCUUCACGAUGGCAGCCUACCACCGAUCCCUGGACGGGGCUCGUUCAGGCCUGGCAGAUGCCCUGGACCGCGCCUUCCCCCUACGGUGCUCCACCUGCCUACAGUGGAACCUGGGCGCCCGGCAUGCGCCCCUCCAUCGGCGCUCCCGGGCUCCUCGGCUCCCGGCCGCCGCCGCACGCGUACACGGCCUAUGCUCCUCUGUACCAGUCUUCGGCACCUCCAUCAGCACCACCUCCAUACCUCUACGGCGCUCCUACAACAGGUUGGGACCUCGCUGGUCCAUUGGCGUCGCCAUCUGCAUCUCUGCACCAGCCGGCGCCCCUGUUUCCACUACAGCACCACCAGCCUGGGAUCAAGCUACUCUCAUCGCCGCCCUUAACUCACUUACCACCCAGCACACAGGAUCUCCACUGCAAGACGGUGAUAGCUCGGUUCAAUAGCUCCGGCGAUCUCUACACCAUCAACGGCGCCUCUUCUCCAUCACCUCAAGCCAUGCACGCCUCGGUCACCUUAUGGCAUCGCCGGUUUGGUCAUCCCACCGCCACCACAACCACCAAGCUUCUCCAAGAGUUUCAGCUUCCGCAUGAUCACGAGUCCCAUGAUGUCUCCCUAUGUACAACGUGUCAAUUAGGCAAAUAUGUUCGGUUACCUUUUAGCACGUCUACCACUCACAGUACCUUUCCCUUUGAAUUAUUGCAUUGUGACCUAUGGACCUCGCCUAUUCCUAGUGUGUCUGGUUUUAAGUACUACCUUGUAACCGUGGAUGAUUUUUCUCACUAUAUACGAACCUUUCCUGUUCGCUCUAAAUCCGAUGUUCAUCCUCUUUUUGUACAUUUUCAGUGCUACGUCUUCACUCACUUCUCCCUUCCCAUUCGCUUUCUCCAGUGUGACAAUGGUCGAGAGUUUGACAACGCUCGCAAUCGAGAGUUCUUCUUGCAGCAUGGCAUCCUCCUACGUUGCUCCUGCCCAUACACUUCCUCUCAAAAUGGCAAAGCAGAGCGCUUUCUUCGCACUAUCAAUGACAUUUUGCGCACACUCCUCAUCCAGGCUUCCACUCCACCUAAGUUUUGGGUAGAAGCUCUACGUCACGCAAUAUACCUUCUCAAUAUUCGACCAACUCCCACCUGCCCAAAGUUCUCUCCAUACGAAUCAUUAUUUCUCGCCCCACCUUCCUAUGAUAGCCUUCGUAUUUUUGGCCGUCUCUGUUUUCCAAACCUUAGCGCCACCACCCCUCACAAACUCUCCCAACGUUCCUUGCCAAGCGUUUUCCUCGGCUAUUCUGAUUCGCACAAAGGCUUUCGUUGCCUACAACUGGACACUGGUCGUGUUUUUGUUUCUCGCCAUGUUACUUUUGACGAAACAGCCUUCCCAUUUGCGUCCCACUCCCAUCCAGAUUUUUCCAACCCAAUCAGUGCCAGCAAAAAUGCCUCCAAGCCACUCAAUGUGCAUGGCCUGCAUGGCCCUGUUCACGCAGUCUUUUCUCCAGGGCCCGCCUGUUGGGUAACGUAG
rnacentral:rRNA from 1 species